rnacentral:rRNA from 1 species
CGUGUAGGCGGUCCGGUAAGUCGGCUGUGAAAGUCGAGGGCUCAACCCUCGAAUGCCGGCCGAAACUGCCGGGCCAGAGUCGGGAAGAGGCGAGUGGAACUCCCGGUGUAGCGGUGAAAUGCGCAGAUAUCGGGAGGAACACCAAUGGCGAAGGCAGCUCGCUGGGACGGUACUGACGCUGAGACGCGAAAGCGUGGGGAGCAAACA